rnacentral:tRNA from 1 species
GCCAGAGUAGCUCAGGGGUAGAGCAAGCGCUUUGUAAGCGUUAGGUCGUGGGUUCAAAUCCCACCUCUGGCU